UACAGAGGUGGCAAACGUUGUCCGGAUUUAUUGGGUGUAAAGGGCAUGUAGGUGGUCUUGUAAGUCAAAGGUGAAAUGGCUCGGCUCAACCGAGUCAUUGCCUUUGAAACUGCCGGACUUGAGUACGGAAGAGGAGAGCGGAAUUCCCAGUGUAGCGGUGAAAUGCGUAGAUAUUGGGAGGAACACCGGUGGCGAAAGCGGCUCUCUGGUCCGAAACUGACACUGAGAUGCGAAAGCCAGGGGAGCAAACGGG
rnacentral:rRNA from 1 species